rnacentral:rRNA from 1 species
CAGCAGCCGCGGUAAUACCGGCGGCCCGAGUGGCGGUCACUAUUAUUGGGCUUAAAGCAUCCGUAGCCGGGUUGGGAAGGCCUCCGGGAAAUCUGGCCGCUUAACGGUCAGAAUGCCGGAGGAUACUCCCAGCCUAGGGAGCGGGAGAGGCCGAGGGGAUUCCCGGAGUAGGGGGGAAAUCCUAUAAUCCCGGGAGGACCACCUGUGGCGAAGGCGCUCGGCUGGAACGCGUCCGACGGUGAGGGACGAAGGCCAGGGGAGCGAACCGGAUUAGAUACCCGGGUAGUCCUGGCUGUAAACGAUGCGGACUAGGUGUCGGGCAAGCUAAGGGCUUGUCCGGUGCCGCAGGGAAGCCGUUAAGUCCGCCGCCUGGGGAGUACGGCCGCAAGGCUGAAACUUAAAGGAAUUGGCGGG